UACGUAGGGGCCGAGCGUUGUCCGGAAUCAUUGGGCGUAAAGAGCGUGUAGGCGGCCUUUUAAGUCCUGCGUGAAAUCCUGCGGCUCAACCGCAGACGGUCGUGGGAAACUGGAAGGCUAGAGUGCGGGAGAGGAGAGUGGAAUUCCCGGUGUAGCGGUGAAAUGCGCAGAUAUCGGGAAGAACACCGGUGGCGAAGGCGGCUCUCUGGAACGCAACUGACGCUGAGGCGCGAAAGCGUGGGGAGCAAACAGG
rnacentral:rRNA from 1 species